rnacentral:rRNA from 1 species
UACAGAGGUGGCAAGCGUUGUUCGGAAUUACUGGGCGUAAAGGGCGCGUAGGCGGCCAUCUAAGUCAGACGUGAAAUCCCCCGGCUUAACCUGGGAACUGCGUCUGAUACUGGACGGCUUGAGUUUGGGAGAGGGAUGCAGAAUUCCAGGUGUAGCGGUGAAAUGCGUAGAUAUCUGGAGGAAUACCGGUGGCGAAGGCGGCAUCCUGGACCAACACUGACGCUGAUGCGCGAAAGCUAGGGGAGCAAACGGG